GGGGUGGUAAAUUUCAUCUAAAGCUAAAUAUUGGCCGGAAGACCGAUAGCGCACAAGUAGAGUGAUCGAAAGGUUAAAAGCACCUUGAAAAGGGAGUUAAACAGCACGUGAAAUUGUUGAAAGGGAAGCGCUUGCGGCCAGACUCGGGGGCGGGGUUCAGCGGGCGCUCGUCGCCCGUGCACUCCCCGUUCCCCGGGCCAGCAUCAGUUUCGACGGCCGGUCAAAGGCCCCCGGAAUGUGUCGUCUCUCGGGACGUCUUAUAGCCGGGGGUGCAAUGCGGCCCGCCGGGACUGAGGAACGCGCUUCGGCUCGGAUGCUGGCGUAAUGGCCGUAAGCGGC
rnacentral:rRNA from 1 species